AAGCAAAUGGAUGGUCUGCGGGAUGUAUACUUGAAGUAAUUGACAAGAAACCAGAGUGGUUGGUUACCCAAUCCCGACACGGGGAGGUAGUGACAAUAAAUAACAAUACAGGGUUCUUUUGGAUCUUGUAAUUGGAAUGAGUACAAUUUAAAUCUCUUAACGAGGAACAAUUGGAGGGCAAGUCUGGUGCCAGCAGCCGCGGUAAUUCCAGCUCCAAUAGCGUAUAUUAAAGUUGUUGCAGUUAAAAAGCUCGUAGUUGAAUUUCGGGAUCAAUAUUUCGGUCAUGCCGUUGGUAUGCACUGUUAUCAUUGAUUUCUCACCUUCUAAAGAACCGUAAUGCCAUUAAUUUGGUGUUACGGGGAAUUAGGACUGUUACCUUGAAAAAAUUAGAGUGUUUAAAGCAGGCUCACGCUUGAAUACAUUAGCAUGGAAUAAUGAAAUAGGACAUCCGAUUCUAUUUUGUUGGUUUCUAGGAUCGAUGUAAUGAUUAAUAGGGAUAGUUGGGGGCAUUAGUAUUCAAUUGUCAGAGGUGAAAUUCUUGGAUAUAUUGAAGACUAACUACUGCGAAAGCAUUUGCCAAGGAUGUUUUCAUUAAUCAAGAACGAAAGUUAGGGGAUCGAAGACGAUCAGAUACCGUCGUAGUCUUAACCAUAAACUAUGCCGACUAGGGGAUCGGAUGAUGUUAAUUUUUUAAUGACUCAUUCCGCGGCUUAGCC
rnacentral:rRNA from 1 species